rnacentral:misc_RNA from 1 species
GGAAGUAAAAGUCGUAUCAAGGUCUCCGUUGGUGAACCAGCGGAGGGAUCAUUACAGAGUUGCAAAACUCCCAAACCAUUGUGAACGUUACCUAUCCCGUUGCUUCGGCGGGCGGCCCGGGCCCCGCGCCCGGCGCCCCCCGGCCCCCCGUGGGCGCCCGCCGGAGGUAAACCAAACCCUUGAAUUGCAUGGCCUCUCUGAGUCCUCCGUACUGAAUAGGUCAAAACUUUCAACAACGGAUCUCUUGGUUCUG